rnacentral:rRNA from 1 species
GAAUUCGCCCUUAGAGUUUGAUCCUGGCUCAGGACGAACGCUGGCGGCGUGCUUAACACAUGCAAGUCGAGCGGAGAUGAGAUUGGAAGUCCUUCGGGAUGGAAGGUCUGAUCUUAGCGGCGGACGGGUGAGUAACGCGUGAGCAAUCUGUCCCAUACAGGGGGAUAACACUUGGAAACAGGUGCUAAUACCGCAUAAGACCACAGUACCGCAUGGUACAGGGGUAAAAGAAUAUCGGUAUGGGGUGAGCUCGCGUCCCAUUAGAUAGUUAGUGAGGUAACGGCCCACCAAGUCGACGAUGGGUAGCCGACCUGAGAGGGUGAUCGGCCACAUUGGAACUGAGACACGGUCCAGACUCCUACGGGAGGCAGCAGUGGGGAAUAUUGGGCAAUGGGCGCAAGCCUGACCCAGCAACGCCGCGUGAAGGAAGAAGGUUUUCGGAUUGUAAACUUCUGUCCUUGGUGACGAAGGAAGUGACGGUAGCCAAGGAGGAAGCCCCGGCUAACUACGUGCCAGCAGCCGCGGUAAUACGUAGGGGGCAAGCGUUGUCCGGAAUGACUGGGCGUAAAGGGCGUGUAGGCGGCCGAUUAAGUCUGAAGUGAAAGUCCUGCUUUCAAGGUGGGAAUUGCUUUGGAGACUGGUUGGCUUGAGUGCGGAAGAGGUAAGUGGAAUUCCCAGUGUAGCGGUGAAAUGCGUAGAGAUUGGGAGGAACACCAGUGGCGAAGGCGACUUACUGGGCCGUAACUGACGCUGAGGCGCGAAAGCGUGGGUAGCAAACAGGAUUAGAUACCCUGGUAGUCCACGCUGUAAACGAUGAAUGCUAGGUGUUGCGGGUAUCGACCCCUGCAGUGCCGCAGUAAACACAAUAAGCAUUCCGCCUGGGGAGUACGGCCGCAAGGUUGAAACUCAAAGGAAUUGACGGGGGCCCGCACAAGCAGCGGAGCAUGUUGUUUAAUUCGAAGCAACGCGAAGAACCUCACCAGGUCUUGACAUCGAUGUAAAGCUUCAGAGAUGGAGUGUCUCUACGGAGGACAGAAGACAGGUGGUGCAUGGUUGUCGUCAGCUCGUGUCGUGAGAUGUUGGGUUAAGUCCCGCAACGAGCGCAACCCCUAUGGUCAGUUACUAACGCGUGAAGGCGAGGACUCUGACAAGACUGCCGGGGACAACUCGGAGGAAGGUGGGGACGACGUCAAAUCAUCAUGCCCCUUAUGACCUGGGCUACAGACGUGCUGCAAUGGUGGUUACAAAGAGGAGCGAGCCAGUGAUGGUAAGCGGAUCUCAAAAAAGCCAUCUCAGUUCGGAUUGUGGGCUGCAACCCGCCCACAUGAAGUUGGAGUUGCUAGUAAUCGCGGAUCAGAAUGCCGCGGUGAAUACGUUCCCGGGCCUUGUACUCACCGCCCGUCA